GUUUAUGACACGCUUUAUUAUUCGUGUCACAAGUAGACCCGUGACUUGCUAACUCGAUUUGACUUGUGAUGACCUAUUUUGAUUCUUUAUUUUGCUAGACAAGCAUUUGGUUAUUAAUUAUGUAUUAUAUUAGGGAUUUGUUACUUUAUUUUAGUUGGUUUGUAUUUUAUAUUUUAUUUGUUAAUUUCCUUUAUCAAGACUUAUUUAGUUUGUGAUUUUAUGUAACAAAUUGAAAAUUAUGUAACAAAUUGAAAAUUGUGUGUGUGUGUGUGUUGUGUGCAUGCGUAUAUUUACAACAUAGUUCUAAGUCAGGCUAUAACCUGAUAACAGAUAGAGUUGUAUGGCUUGAUAUCUACUGAGAUAUGGUAAUUUUUAUGUACAUAACAGUGAAAUGCAUUUAUUGAUGCUGAGUUGUGACAUCCACAGGUUUAACAAUUAGAAAAAUAUUGCAUAUUUUUACACUAGUGUCAAAUAAUUUGGGUAGCAUGUACCUGACAUCAAACCAUGGGUGACAG
rnacentral:misc_RNA from 1 species